rnacentral:lncRNA from 1 species
AACACUAUCAACAUGAAGUGAGUAGGGUGAAUAUCGGGUUCAAAACCCAGGAGUAGAAUACCUACUGACUAAAUUGCAUCACGGGAUGCUUUCGGGAAUAAAGGCCAGAAUCAUCACACUGGGAUACAAAUCAUGGCUAGAUUACUAGAUGAUCCCCUAAGACACCUAGGGUCAUAAUAAUAAUUCCAACAUAUAUGUCGAGGCAAUAGAAUACCUCAACUCAGCAAUUAGUGUGAUUAACCUGGCCCAAAGGAACAUCAAAACUAGAGGGAAAGGAUUUGCAAGUGCAUCAGAUUGUUUAGAAACCUGGGAUGACUCGGACAGCAUAACGGCUGUAAAUGCUCAAAAAGAUUGGAGACAUGCUACAAAAAUGGUGGCAUAGCCACUUCGAAGCACAAUAUCAAGGUUUCGAAAUCAACAGUUAUGAACAUACGGAAGUAGUAAAACUGAACUAAGAUUUGAAACUAACAAUUCUAUAAGUCUAUGGAUUAGUAACACGUCAUCCUGAUAGAUAGAUGAGAAAGCCUAGUUUCUUCAUCCCCGUAGAAAAGAAGAGGUUGACUCAGAUCAGAAGGGCAUAAGGGAUAAGGAGUAAAAAGAGCCUUACGUUCCCAUCCCACAAUCAAUUCCCCUACAUAUAACUAAAGCAUUUCUAGACUCAACUUCGACCAUUUUGGCUUGGUAAUCCUACAGGCAGUCAAGCUCUGAUACCAAAGCUGUCAGGACCCCGACUCAAUGCCACAUCGAUCUAGCAUGUAACACCUCAUAUCACUUUGCGGCCUCACACACGGUAUUCCCACGGGUGUCGCCUUACCUUUGCCUGGGACCAUUUGCGCCUUUUGGCACACGUAUAUGAUAGUGUCGCUAGCAUCCAUAUGAUAAGGAGCCCAGGUUGACAUGGCUAGUCGUAAACCUAAAGUGGCACAAACUUACAGGGACAGGCAUCCAUGACCCAGCAUCGAACAUGUCGGUCAUCAGCGAGUGAGUUCCGGGCUGUAGCACUGGGCUAGCAGGACUCCGGUAAACCGGGCUGUAGCGGGCUAACAGGACUUCGGUACUCAACGCGUGACAUUUCCCCGAAGGGACAGACACAGGAACGAAGAAGGACACAUGCCGGCCAGCCUAAGUGUUCCGGAGCAGUAGCAAGCUACCAUGGCUCAAUGGAAACACUAGGAGACAUUUCCCGGUAAGAGAGGCUACUAAAGAUAAACAACUAGAUAGUCAAAUCCCACACAUACCAAGCAUUUCAAUCAUACACACAAUAUGCUCGAUAUGUGCAAAUACAACAAGGCAUCACAACAUGACUCUACAACACAAGUAUUUAUUCAAUAGGCUCCGAGGAGCGAGAUAUUACAAACAUGGGUCUUACGACCCAACAUUCAGAGCAUACAGAUCAAGCACAUGUNUAUUUAAUUUGGAGUUACGGUUGAAUUUCUAUGAAUUUUAGAAGUUUAGAGCAUUUUCUGGAAUUUCCUGUGUAGAAAUAAAUACAGAAAAUACUUAUUGCAUCAGCAUUGCGUCAUUCUGACGUCAGCAGUCAACGAGGCCGGUCUAGGUCAAACCUGACGUGUGGGGUCCACAUGUCAGUGACUAACUAACUAAUCUAAAUUAAUUAGUGUUAAACUACUACUAACUAAAAUUGUCAGUGGAGUAACUAAACUUAAUUAAAAACUAAUCCAGGAUUAGCUGGGGCCUAGGCCCACUCGUCAGUGACUCAGGCAAAAGUCAAACUGGGGUCAAACCUGGUCAAACUCGCUGGAGUUGACCGGGGCUCGUCGCCGGCAGGGCCAGAGACGGCGAAGGGGCUCGGGAUUCCUCUAUGGGGCUCCGUUUUGAGCGCGGUUUGCUGCUACGGCUUGCUGGAGCUCUCGCGCAUCUAGUGGUGGCGGCGACAGCAGCUGGGAUGGCCGGAGUUGACGGCGGCAACCAUUUCUGCGGCGGCCGGAGUUCGGCAACAACGGUGUGGGCGGUGCGAGGCACGGGAGGAACCGUGGACAGUCGUGUUCAACUCACGGGAGUGCGGUGAGCUCAGUGGUAAGCUCAGACGCGUGCUUGCACGGCCGUAGCCGCAGUGGCGACAUGGCCGGCGGCGAGGAGCAAUCGGCUCCGAUGGCUAUGGUGGCUAGAAGGCGCGGACGAGCAUGGGGAGAGAGGGGAAAGAGGCAUGGGCUCACGGAGAAUCCGGUAGAGGCAACAGCGAGGCCGGGGAGGGACUGGAGCUCGCGAAUCCCCGAAGAGUUCGCCGGCGGCCAGAGGUUGAAGACGAUGCCGUGGACGACGCUGUAGGGCUUCCGGCGGGGCGCGGCUGGGUGGAGAGGAAGGGGGCGUCACAGCGGAGCUCGGGGGCACGUCGGAGGGGCUCGGAGAUGGCUGUGGCCGUGGGGGAGCUCGUCGGCGAGGACGCGGCUGCGUCGGCCAUGGCGUAGAGGAAGCAAGGGAGAGAGCACGGGGGAGAGUGAGGUGUCGGAUGGACCGGGGCGACACCGGGGAGGCGUUCACGGCGUCGAAGCGGUGACCAGGUGUGAUAGCCUGGCUUAUUAGGGAUGAUAGACUACUCAUAUCAAUAAGGAAUUCCUUCUUUUCUGGAAGCCCAUUCGGACAGAACUCCAAAGUUAAGCGUGCUCAGCUUGGAGUAGUUUCAGGAUGGGUGACCGACCAGGAAGUUGCUCCCGGGUGCGCACGAGUGAGGACAAAGUGUGCAGAAAAGACUAGUAUUGAUCUGUGGGGCCAGUCUAGAUCCCGCCAGGAGUAACGAUCACCGGCGGGUGUGUCCGGGGCGUUACACCAGGUGAUGCAGACGAGUAGGGUGGUGGCGUGGCGAGCUCGGGCGCGUGCGCCGUGCCCCUCCUCUGCCUAUUGGCAGAGGUAGGCGAUGACUGGCAUGGGCCAGCACAGUGCUGGGCCGGCCAGUGGGCUGCCAGGUGGGCUGCGCCAGGUAAGUGGCUGGAUCCUUUCUCUCUCUCCUUUUUCUAUUUAUUUCAGUUUUCUAUUAUUCUAUAAAUUUUAAGGGCUUUAUUUAAAAUACUUAAACAGAUCCAAAAAUCAUGAAACUAAUCAUGGCUACUGUUUAGAAUAUAUCCAACAGUAAACAUUUUGGUUUAUGAUUAUUUGAGCAUUUAAAAUAUUUUAUAGUAUUUAAAUGCCCAAAUGCAAAUAGAGUAUGAUUUAAUUCAGAGCCCAAUAUGUCCUGCAAAAAUAUAAACCAUUUUUGGUAGAUGCUUUCACCUCAAACCAGAAAUAUUGAACAUUUUUAGAGGGCAUUUUGAGUUCAAUGAAAAAGAUUUUAUUUUGACCCUAGUUGAAUUCAUUUGGUGCUAGGGUUUAAGCAUCCCCAUUUCAAGUUAACUGGAAUUUAAACAUGAUGCAACACCAGAUGCUAGCACUAGGCAUUAACAGAACUAGGGAUGUGACAACUCACCCCCACUAACCAAGAAUCUCGACCCGAGAUUCAAGCGUAGGGUAAGAUGAAAGGGAAGCACAAACUAAUAUAAUCUUCACGAUCUAAGUUGCACUUCAAAUGAACGUUGAUUCGAUCACCAUCAUUGUCUUGAAGUCUUGCUCUGAGAACUCCAUCCCACAUGACAACAAGUAGAAAGGAAGAAUUUUAGAAGAAUCGAUCUUCCUGAGAUUCGAGCAACUUAGGAUCAUAUUAAUGAUCACAAGAUCAAUUCACGUAAUGAGACAUAGAAACAUCUCUGGAGCUGAGAGGCAAAACAUGCAUCAGGAGGGACGGAGGAAGCAAUUUGACGAGGGUUCCAAGCAGCGAGGGUAAACUGCCAUGAUUCCAUAACGGGGCACCUUAGGGAAGGUGGCUCGUAGAAUCAUCCCUUAAGUGGCAAAAAGAAUUACCUUUGAUUCAAAGAUCACUGAGGCUCUUUAUACCAGCUUAAGGCAAAACACAAUCGAUCAUUUGAAGGAGUCCGAAAGAAAGACAUUCUCGGCCAGAAUGGAUGAUGUGGACCACCUUGUUGAAGAUAACACAAGGGAUGAUUUUGCCUAUCAUCGGAAAUGGAUGGGACCCAAGAUAGGAUGGCACAAUGACAGUGCAAGUUGGGAACAAAAUACAAGUGCUGGGAAUGAUUCCAGUAACUGGGGAGAAACUCAAUAGCAGAGAGUGAUUCCACUAUUGGAAUGGUUAUAGCAUAACCGGGGAAACUGAGAACAAUCCCGGUUAGAAACUAUGAUAGCACCUAAUGCUUGUGCGUGCUUUCAAGAACUUGAGCAUUUCCAUAUUCAUCAAGGUUUUACCAAUAUCCGUGUCAGGGAUCCUGGCAACACAACAUACUACCAUGACGAAUGCCGGUGGAGGAUGCAGAUACAAAGGAAGACAACACUUUCUCAGAUUUCACCUUAGCGGGGCCAAGGGGGCUAAAUCUGGAUGAUCGACCGAGAGACAUUUAGCACUCCGCUUCUAAUGUUCUCCUUGAUGUGCUAGCGUAACCCAUUUGCAUGGUUUGGUAUCUAGAACAUCAAGUAAAAGGUCGGACUUCGGGAGCACAAAAGAAAAUCCAUAAGGAACAACUAAGGAGUAAAUCCUAUGAAGUCCUUAUGGGGAGGUGAUCAACUUCCUCAACCAAGAUACUAUAAUAAUAGGCCUUCUAGCUAGUUGGGUUGGCCACGACAUCCACUUUACCGGUUACAGUGAGACCAUUAUUAUCAUUCUUGGGAAACGUUCCAACCAUCAUAUCUGCCCGAGAUUCAGAUCUGGUUGGUGUUAGGAUAUUCCAGACUCAUCAAGUCUAGAAAUAAAAAUGAAAGUUUGCAACACAAAACGACGAGAUAACGUUGCGAGACUCUCAGGAGAUGAGCUACGAUAGCAAGCUCCAAAACAAGAGCUGGUUCUACUACAUACAUGUGAGCACGUUAUCCAAGACAAGAAUGACCACAUAGUAGUCUUAUAUGUAAAAAUACUACCGAGUUCUGGUUGGGAAUCACCAUCGAGGAUAUCGAAGCCCUUGCAUAAGUCCGGAUCCUAAGAAGAACUUCUUCUCCUUGAACAAAUUAAUCAGUGGCUUGGUGUGCUAGGAACACAUAUGGAGUGUAGGUAAUUAAUCUACCAAACCAUAGAAUACUUCGCACGUAUGCAUGACUGAUUUGGGAUGAUUCCAAGGGAAACAAAACAAACCUUUCUUGAACUCAUGGCGGCAACUUGCAUCAAUGCACAUGAAUUCGAGGAAGUCACUUCUUUCAUCCAAGCAUAUUCUUCAUGAACGAAACACGAAGAUAAUGCUUAUAUAAGUUUCCAACACUAGCUUAAUGUUCAACACGAAUCAUGGGGGAGACAAAAUGCUGCUGAUGGACUCAACAGCAACUCAUCGGAAUUUCCAUAUCACUGAACUUCCACCAUUAUGUGAACAAUGUGAUAGUAUUGGUCAGACCAAAAGAUGUAAUGGUGUAUGCUCAAGGAAUCAACCACGAGUAAGACAACAUUACGUAUAUCGUUGGUUCUAACUUGAUUUGACGAUGGCCCUCACUCAAAUCAAGGUUUGGGCAAGAUGAUAGGUUCAACAACUGAUCACGAGGACCAAUCGAUGAAGAAAUCAUCUUUCUACAACAAACACACAAACACAAGAUAUCCCUUUCGAAAUGAACUAAGUUAGGCAAGCUUUUAUCUUCCAACUCUCCAAGUUGCUGUUCAGCUUAACCAACUAGCUUAGGGGUAUCCAACACAGAUUCUUGGAGAAGGGGUGGUUUAUAAGAAAUCCAACUUGAUCACGAGCUCAACAUAACAGUCAGGGGAUAACCUGGUAACACUUCCGAGAAGAUAUUCGGAAAAUCACGAACCACCGAUAUGCUAUUAAGCUCGAGAACAAUCUUGCUUUUGAGGGCAGGAUGAUAUGAUCAAAUGAGCGAGGACUUGACAAGAUCCUAACUCAUCAAUCGAAGUGUGCACCAGGAAAAUGGACUAGGUGGCACAAUCAACCUUAGGGUGAUGAUUCAAUAAUCAACACGCUAAGAAUGAGAAUAUUGUCCAUUAACUACCAAGCAACAGAGUUACUAGGAGUAUUGAUUUCACACAUCAUGGUUCACUUGCCGGCAUUCCGGUUGCGACAACACGGGACCGAGAAAUGAAAAAUGAUGGCAAGAGGUAUCACUGCGUCAAGAAUUCAUGAGAGAUGGUGCAAUUCUCAUGAUAAUCCUCACAUAAAGGGGGUAAUACUCCAGGGUAGACCAGAAUCAAAAGCUAGGUUGGCAUUUUGAUUUGCGAGAUACAACUACUUUGACCCAAUCCUGGAUAUAGAUGAGGUACUGGAGUUUGUUUCUCCUUGUCAUUCCAGAAUAGAAUGGCUUGACGGACCACAAGAGUAAUAGGCAUCGAUAAACGAAUGCACGCAUACUCUUGACUAUCAAUUGAUAGACGAGGGUCAGAAUACAACUAAAGAGAGACAACUCAAAAGAACAUCUGAUUUUCUGAGUUGUGGAUGCAUAGAUUAGUAAGUCGAGCAAAGCUCAGCAUUUCUUCCGGAUAACCCAUGCAGGAAGGUAGAGUUAGCAGAUUCACAAUAUAGAAUGAGGAACUCAUCAAGAGCACUCUUAUUGUGAUCUUUUGCUUCAAAGGAACUCCUGCCAAGGAUGGUUCAUGGUAUUUGGAAGAAUGAUAUACCACGGACCUCGCAGUCUAUCUCAAAAGUUACUAAUAACCUAAAGGAACGAGCAAACACUAUCAACAUGAAGUGAGUAGGGUGAAUAUCGGGUUCAAAACCCAGGAGUAGAAUACCUACUGACUAAAUUGCAUCACGGGAUGCUUUUGGGAAUAAAGGCCAGAAUCAUCACACUGGGAUACAAAUCAUGGCUACAUUACUAGAUGAUCCCCUAAGACACCUAGGGUCAUAAUAAUAAUUCCAGCAUAUAUGUCGAGGUAAUAGAAUACCUCAACUCAGCAAUUAGUGUGAUUAACCUGGCCCAAAGGAACAUCAAAACCAGAGGGAAAGGAUUUGCAAGUGCAUCAGAUUG